rnacentral:rRNA from 1 species
AGCGUCUGGAAAGGCGCGCGAUACAGGGUGACAGCCCCGUACACAAAAGCGCAUGUGCUGUGAGCUCGAUGAGUAGGGCGGGACACGUGGUAUCCUGUCUGAAUAUGGGGGGACCAUCCUCCAAGGCUAAAUACUCCUGACUGACCGAUAGUGAACCAGUACCGUGAGGGAAAGGCGAAAAGAACCCCGGCGAGGGGAGUGAAAAAGAACCUGAAACCGUGUACGUACAAGCAGUGGGAGCCCCACCACUAAGCCAGUGGUGAACUCCACAUACGCAUCCUUUGCUGAGGAUACGGUUAACGGAGCGAAAGCGACGUUCAACCUCAAAAGAAGCAGAGGGGGCUUAGUGGUGGGGUGACUGCGUACCUUUUGUAUAAUGGGUCAGCGACUUAUAUUCUGUAGCAAGGUUAACCGMAUAGGGGAGCCGGAGGGAAACCGAGUCUUAAUUGGGCGUUAAGUUGCAGGGUAUAGACCCGAAACCCGGUGAUCUAGCCAUGGGCAGGUUGAAGGUUGGGUAACACUAACUGGAGGACCGAACCGACUAAUGUUGAAAAAUUAGCGGAUGACCUGUGGCUGGGGGUGAAAGGCCAAUCAAACCGGGAG